rnacentral:rRNA from 1 species
UACGUAGGCAGCGAGCGUUGUUCGGAAUUACUGGGCGUAAAGAGUGUGUAGGCGGUGCUCUAAGUUCGGUGUGAAAUCUCCUGGCUCAACUGGGAGGGUGCGCCGGAAACUGGAGUGCUUGAGCGUGGGAGAGGAAAGCGGAAUCCUGGUGUAGCGGUGAAAUGCGUAGAUAUCAGGAGGAACACCUGUGGUGUAGACGGCUUUCUGGACCAUAGCUGACGCUGAGACACGAAAGCGUGGGUAGCAAACAGG